rnacentral:rRNA from 1 species
AUUGAACGCUGGCGGCAGGCCUAACACAUGCAAGUCGAGCGGAUGAAGGGAGCUUGCUCCUGGAUUCAGCGGCGGACGGGUGAGUAAUGCCUAGGAAUCUGCCUGGUAGUGGGGGAUAACGUCCGGAAACGGGCGCUAAUACCGCAUACGUCCUGAGGGAGAAAGUGGGGGAUCUUCGGACCUCACGCUAUCAGAUGAGCCUAGGUCGGAUUAGCUAGUUGGUGGGGUAAAGGCCUACCAAGCCGACGAUCCGUAACUGGUCUGAGAGGAUGAUCAGUCACACUGGAACUGAGACACGGUCCAGACGCCUACGGGAGGCAGCAGUGGGGAAUAUUGGACAAUGGGCGAAAGCCUGAUCCAGCCAUGCCGCGUGUGUGAAGAAGGUCUUCGGAUUGUAAAGCACUUUAAGUUGGGAGGAAGGGCAGUAAGUUAAUACCUUGCUGUUUUGACGUUACCAACAGAAUAAGCACCGGCUAACUUCGUG